CGAGGAGGUAGGGCUUACGCUUGCGUUUGUCUGUUAUAUCUUGGUGGACGAGUUGUCGCGGUUGGGACUGAGGUGCCUACAACGUGCUUUUGAGUGAGUUUGUGUCUCCGUGUGCGCCGUGUGCGGAUAGCUUGCUAUGUAUGUGCGGUUGUGUGUGGAUUGAUGCGGGCUUUAACUUGUUGCCGUUCGGGACGUUGGCGAAAUGGAGCGAUCCGACCCGUCUUGAAACACGGACCAAGGAGUCUAACAUGUGUGCAAGUGUUAGGGUGUGGAAACCCCAGCGCGAAAUGAAAGUGAAGGGCAGCGCAAGUUGUCUGAGGUAGGAAACGUUGUGGACUUCGGUCUGCGGCGUGGCACUAUCGACCGAUCAUGAACCUUCGUGGUGAAAGAUUUGAGUUUGAGCACAUAUGUUGGUACCCGAAAGAUGGUGAACUAUGCCUGAGUAGGGUGAAGCCAGGGGAAACUCUGGUGGAAGCUCGUAGCGAUUCUGACGUGCAAAUCGAUCGUCAAACUUGGGUAUAGGGGCGAAAGACUAAUCGAACCAUCUAGUAGCUGGUUCCCUCCGAAAUUUCCCUCAGGAUAGCAGCAACUUAUUUACGAUAGUUUUAUGAGGUAAAGCGAAUGAUUAGAGGAUUCGGGGAAGAAACUUCCUCGACCUAUUCUCAAACUUUAAAUCUGUAAGACCUGCAGGUUUCUUAAU
rnacentral:rRNA from 1 species